rnacentral:rRNA from 1 species
AACGUAGGUUCCGAGCGUUAUCCGGAUUUACUGGGCGUAAAGCGCGUUCAGGCGGUUUGGCAAGUCGGGCAUGAAAUCCUUCGGCUCAACCGGGGGAGGUUGUCCGAUACUGCUAAACUGGAGGGCAGUAGAGGGUGGUGGAAUUCCGGGUGUAGUGGUGAAAUGCGUAGAGAUCCGGAGGAACACCAGUGGCGAAGGCGGCUCUCUGGGACGGUACUGACGCUGAGACGCGAAAGCGUGGGGAGCGAACAGG